rnacentral:lncRNA from 1 species
UGUUCCGGUUCGACCUCCUCCGAGAUUGUGCACUCUACUAUAAAAUCUGCCAAUAUCUGAGCUUUUACCGUCAGUCUGGGUCGAUAGUUGAUGUCGAAUUUGGUGAGGUCGAUCGCCUAUUUCGCCAUCCUCCCGGAGGCAUCUGCCCGGUGUAGAAUAGCCUUGAUCGGCUGGUCGGUGAGUAACGUUACGGUGUGCCCUUGGAAGUAGGGUCGGAGCCUCCAGGCUGCAAUCAA